AAUUACCCAAUCCCGACACGGGGAGGUAGUGACAAUAAAUAACAAUACAGGGCUUUUUGAGUCUUGUAAUUGGAAUGAGUACAAUUUAAAUCCCUUAACGAGGAACAAUUGGAGGGCAAGUCUGGUGCCAGCAGCCGCGGUAAUUCCAGCUCCAAUAGCGUAUAUUAAAGUUGUUGCAGUUAAAAAGCUCGUAGUUGAAUUUUGGACUCGGUUGGA
rnacentral:rRNA from 1 species